rnacentral:tRNA from 1 species
GCGUGAUGGCUCAGUGGUAGAGCAGUGGUCUCGUAACCAAGAGGUCCCGGGUUCGAAACCUAGUCAAUGCA